GGAUCUUCUUGUUGGGUGGCUGGCUUCCAGUAGAUUUAUUAUGGUCGGCACAUUCCUUGGUGUGUGAAUGCAAGUCAAUACUUUGAGUUCCGCAUCUGGUUUUGAUUUCUGUAUGGUUCUUCUCUUGUAUGCUACAGAUCUUCUUGCUGGCCGGUAAAUAGCGGUGACCAGGGGAGCAAUCAGACCAGUCAUUAUCAAUGCUGAUAUCACCAUGAUCGAAAAUGAUGCAUCAUCUAUUACCUGCAACACCAUGAUUGAUCUCAGAAGACGAAGAUUUAUCAAAGUGGACAAUCAUUUCAACAAGACCUUUGGUGUUCAUGAGCAACCCGAGGGUGAUUCCUUCACGGAUUGGCAUAUUGUAGAAGUAAGCGACAGCAGUAGUGCCAGCAACCUUGCCAGAACAAGCCAAUAUGAUGACAAGCAUCAGAUUACGCCAUACUUUAAAGUCACCAACUUGACGAACAUCAGUCUUAAGACCACUGAUGGCGAAAAACAGAGGAAGUAGAAGUCCUGAUACGAAAUCUUCAAGCUUUUCGAUAAGGGUUACCCCUAAAGGUCCAUUUGGGAUGAUAAGUCCAAAAACAAAGGCCCCAAACACAGAAUGAGUUCCUAUAGCAUCAGUAAUAAACCCUGAUAUCAUAACCCCUGUGAGUAUAAGGCAUAUGUAAAAAUCACUGAACGGUUCACCCUCAGGUGUACGGCGGACCAUCCACAUAAUGGCGGGUCGAACCAAGAAGAUACACACCACUACAAAGGCAGCACUCGAGAGAAUCACCCAGACUGAAGUCAAACUCGAAGAGCUGGUCUCGGCUAGGGCUAUGGCUAAGGCUAAGAGCACCCAAGCACAAAUAUCAUUGACAAGUGCUGAUGACAUGGCAAUUCGUCCUAUCUCGGUAUUGAUGAGCUUGAGCUCUGCAAGAACUCGAGCUAGUACAGGGAAGGCGGUGACAGCGAGAGCGACACCAAGGAAAAGCACAAAGGUUCCAGGGUGGGUGCUGUCACCUCUUUGCAUUAUGAGGGAGAAGGUGCAUCCUAUGAUAAAAGGUAAGAAAAAGGGACCCUGUUGAACCAGCACCUAUCAUAGGUUAACCAGCCUACCUACACAGGUCUAUGCUUGAGUCAUUCCCAAGCAUUUCACAGCUGAUGGGGCUUGACACUCAAGAGGGGAAUGGUGUGAGCUUUGGUGUCGUGAUUCGAGAUGCAAAUGGCCAACUUCUGGUGGCUGGGGUGAAGCGAUCUGCUACUCACUGGGGACCAGAACUGGCAGAGGCAGGAGCUGCUCUCUAUGUGAUCGAAUUGGCAAGGCGGUUGGGCUAUGAUUGUGUGGUUUUAGAGUGUGACGCGCUGAAGGUUGUUCGAGCAAUUCAGACAAGGCAGGAAGGUGACGCUCCAGUGUUUCUACUAUAUGAUGAGAUUGUUGGAAUUAGUGAGCUUUUUACGCAGUUUAUGUGUUCUCAUAUUAGAAGGGGGUAAUACUGUUCCCCAUUGUAUUGCAAGGUGGGAUACCGGUAAUAACCCGGAACGUAUUUGUAUGAAUUCUUUCCCUCAAAUUCUACAAACUUCGGCGGAUAUUGACCUCCUAUAAUGAAAUGCUUACUCUUCCUCUCAAAAAAAAUGACCAAUUUAAGUGCAAUAGUAAUUGUCAACCUCUUAUUUAUAUACGGUCGUUGAAAUCUUAAUUAUGGUUAAAUAUCAAUAAUUUUUAU